rnacentral:rRNA from 1 species
ACGGGUGAGUAACGCGUGGGAAUCUACCCAUCUCUGCGGAAUAGCUCUGGGAAACUGGAAUUAAUACCGCAUACGCCCUACGGGGGAAAGAUUUAUCGGGGAUGGAUGAGCCCGCGUUGGAUUAGCUAGUUGGUGGGGUAAAGGCCUACCAAGGCGACGAUCCAUAGCUGGUCUGAGAGGAUGAUCAGCCACAUUGGGACUGAGACACGGCCCAAACUCCUACGGGAGGCAGCAGUGGGGAAUAUUGGACAAUGGGCGCAAGCCUGAUCCAGCCAUGCCGCGUGAGUGGUGAAGGCCUUAGGGUUGUAAAGCUCUUUCACCGAUGAAGAUAAUGACGGUAGUCGGAGAAGAAGCCCCGGCUAACUUCGUGCCAGCAGCCGCGGUAAUACGAAGGGGGCUAGCGUUGUUCGGAAUUACUGGGCGUAAAGCGCACGUAGGCGGAUAUUUAAGUCAGGGGUGAAAUCCCGCAGCUCAACUGCGGAACUGCCUUUGAUACUGGGUAUCUUGAGUAUGGAAGAGGUAAGUGGAAUUCCGAGUGUAGAGGUGAAAUUCGUAGA